ensembl:lncRNA
CAUUAUAUUGCAUUUACAGGUUGCAAACAUUAUGCAUAUUUAAGCUCAAUAAAUAAGGAUUUCUCUCAAAAUUGCUGACAAUAAUUCCUAUGUGAAUAUAUAAAUCCAACUGAUGCAGAAAAGUCCAUUAUCAAUAUUAAUGCAAUCAGGUUUAUUUAUUUAUUUAUCACGUAUGUCAGCAAUAGCUAAUAUAUGGUCUGCAGGUUUAGUUCUUCUUGGAAAGAAAUAGUGAUCUUUAACUGCAUAUCAUAUGAACUACCAGUCAGCAACUAGUUGUAAGCUAUAUGUGUUUGAUUCACUAAAAAGAUCAGGUUCAGAGUCAGACUACACUGGUUGCGUUGUAUGUUUGUGUUUGUAUCAACAUAUAGUUUUACUGUGCCUUAUGAUUCAUUGCAUGCAUGAACGGUCUAAUGAUUCAUACUGCAAACCGAUUUAGACAGUUUAACUAACUAUUUGACAGUUAGUUCCUGGUUAGUUACUGCUGAUUCAGUGACUCACUAUUAGCUGGUACUGUAAUUACAACCUUUUGUAGUGUGGGAAACAUUUUAAACAUAUAUUCAUUAACUGUCAUUCAGAAAUCUAGGUCAGUUUUUUUUUUUUUUUUUUAGAGCAAUAUAAAUUGUUGUUAAAGUAGAUUGCAAGUGCAUGGUUCUUAAAAGUAUGAAACUGAUAUUUUCUCUGUCUAGGGAUAUUUUUCUCCAGCUUUUAUAUACCACCUUGUCAGUUACAACCAACCUAAUCAUAUAAGAACAAUGCACAUAAUAUAUAGUUUCAAGCAAAAUAGAUCAAACAGGCAAUACUUAAUCUCUUCUCCGCAGGAAGCUUUUUAACGCAUCCUCAGUUCCACUCUCCCCCACAAUCGAUAUUCAUGUUCAGUCUUCUCCCUUUUUCAAUAAGUACUGCUUUUCCAAAUACAGACAUCAAUAAUGGGAAGAAGACUGGCUUGUUGAUGCCUUGUGAGGUUAAUUCCAUCGACCUCGCAGUUGGUGACAAGGUGGUCUACGCUAUCCUAUCAACCCAGCCACAGUAAGAGAUCUGCUCACACCAAUUGUGAAAGCCUUUCAUUGUGGAUUUGUGGCACAGAUGUGUACUGGGGAGCAGGUCAUAGAUAUCAGAUUAUGAGGACAAGUGUGGAUAAGCGUCUCUUACAUCGGAUUACAAAACUUAAAGAGUUGAUGGGGACAACAACAAUAAAUGUUUUUCAUUUAUCAGAUGACUUUGAGCUGUAAACCACUUUGAACUGGUUUUCAAUUUUUAUUAUUAUUAU